rnacentral:rRNA from 1 species
AUUGAACGCUGGCGGCAUGCCUUACACAUGCAAGUCGAACGGCAGCACGGGAGCAAUCCUGGUGGCGAGUGGCGAACGGGUGAGUAAUGCAUCGGAACGUGCCAUUGAGUGGGGGAUAACGUAGCGAAAGUUACGCUAAUACCGCAUAUUCUGUGCGCAGGAAAGCAGGGGAUCGCAAGACCUUGCGCUCUUUGAGCGGCCGAUGUCAGAUUAGCUAGUUGGUGGGGUAAAGGCUCACCAAGGCGACGAUCUGUAGCGGGUCUGAGAGGAUGAUCCGCCACACUGGGACUGAGACACGGCCCAGACUCCUACGGGAGGCAGCAGUGGGGAAUUUUGCGCAAUGGACGAAAGUCUGACGCAGCAACGCCGCGUGGGUGAUGAAGGUCUUCGGAUUGUAAAACCCUGUCGCCAGGGACGAAGGGUGGGCGUGAAUAGCGUUCUACUUUGACGGUACCUGGAAAGGAAGCCCCGGCUAACUCU